GGCCUAAUACAUGCAAGUCGAACGGGAUCCAGAUCAAAGCUUGCUUUGGUUUGGUGAGAGUGGCGCACGGGUGCGUAACGCGUGAGCAACCUACCCUUGUCAGGGGGAUAGCCCGGCGAAAGUCGGAUUAAUACCGCAUGACAUCAUUGAGAGGCAUCUUUCGAUGAUCAAAGAUUUAUCGGACAAGGAUGGGCUCGCGUGACAUUAGCUAGUUGGUAAGGUAACGGCUUACCAAGGCUACGAUGUCUAGGGGCUCUGAGAGGAGAAUCCCCCACACUGGUACUGAGACACGGACCAGACUCCUACGGGAGGCAGCAGUAAGGAAUAUUGGUCAAUGGACGGAAGUCUGAACCAGCCAUGCCGCGUGCAGGAAGACGGCCCUAUGGGUUGUAAACUGCUUUUAUACGGGAACAAACGUCGGUACGUGUACCGGUCUGAGUGUACCGUAAGAAUAAGGAUCGGCUAACUCCGUGCCAGCAGCCGCGGUAAUACGGAGGAUCCGAGCGUUAUCCGGAAUUAUUGGGUUUAAAGGGUGCGUAGGCGGCCAGAUAAGUCAGGGGUGAAAGUCGGCAGCUCAACUGUCGCAGUGCCUUUGAUACUGUUUGGCUUGAAUUCGGUUGAAGAUGGCGGAAUGAGACAAGUAGCGGUGAAAUGCAUAGAUAUGUCUCAGAACCCCGAUUGCGAAGGCAGCUAUCUAAUCCGUUAUUGACGCUGAUGCACGAAAGCGUGGGGAGCAAACAGGAUUAGAUACCCUGGUAGUCCACGCCCUAAACGAUGAUAACUCGAUGUUGGCGAUAUACAGUCAGCGUCUUAGCGAAAGCGUUAAGUUAUCCACCUGGGGAGUACGCCG
rnacentral:rRNA from 1 species